rnacentral:rRNA from 1 species
CAGUCGCCGCGGUAAUACGUAGGUGGCAAGCGUUGUCCGGAAUUAUUGGGCGUAAAGGGCGCGUAGGUGGUUGCGUAAGUGAGAUGUGAAAUCCCGGGGCUUAACCUGGGACGUGCAUCUUAUACUGCGUAACUGGAGUGCAAGAGAGGGUAGUGGAAUUUCCGGUGUAGCGGUGAGAUGCGUAGAUAUCGGAAGGAACACCAGUGGCGAAGGCGGCUACCUGGCUUGACACUGACACUGAGGCGCGAGAGCGUAGGGAGCAAACAGGAUUAGAUACCCCGGUAGUCCCUGUCUCUUAUAC